GAUGAACGCUGGCGGCGUGCCUAAUACAUGCAAGUCGAGCGAACGGACGAGAAGCUUGCUUCUCUGAUGUUAGCGGCGGACGGGUGAGUAACACGUGGAUAACCUACCUAUAAGACUGGGAUAACUUCGGGAAACCGGAGCUAAUACCGGAUAAUAUUUUGAACCGCAUGGUUCAAAAGUGAAAGAAGGUCUUGCUGUCACUUAUAGAUGGAUCCGCGCUGCAUUAGCUAGUUGGUAAGGUAACGGCUUACCAAGGCAACGAUGCAUAGCCGACCUGAGAGGGUGAUCGGCCACACUGGAACUGAGACACGGUCCAGACUCCUACGGGAGGCAGCAGCAGGGAAUCUUCCGCAAUGGGCGAAAGCCUGACGGAGCAACGCCGCGUGAGUGAUGAAGGUCUUCGGAUCGUAAAACUCUGUUAUUAGGGAAGAACAUAUGUGUAAGUAACUGUGCACAUCUUGACGGUACCUAAUCAGAAAGCCACGGCUAACUACGUG
rnacentral:rRNA from 1 species